UUCAAUUUGUGAAUUGAAUUAUCAAGGUAACUUACGUUUGUAUAUUAGUUUUAAAUAACCCUAUGCGAUUAGGAAAACUGCCGCAACCUAUCUGUUCUUCUUCGUUUCCGUUACCAUAUCGAUUCGCAUCAAACCCCUUCCUUGGGGCCGCCAUAUUUACGUCGACCACAGAAGAAGGAAGAGAGGGAAAAGCAAAAUGAGAACGAGAUAGUAAAACACAUUUGGCCUUGUUCUUACUGUUGUGCGAUCAAUACCAGGUCAUCGACGACUUAACGAGAUUACGAGGUGACGGCUAGGGCAACCCUAUAUAUCAUAAAGUUACGGGCAAGGGUAGAACCUAGCAGUUAGCAUGAAACCCUAUCCGGAUACAUUUGAGCCUGGUUGGUUGAAAAAUACCUUCUAGGAAAAGAGCUUAAGCCAUUUACGAGUUGCUCGGUCUUUCUAGAUGCCCGUGCGACACAUGGUACGUGUACACUUCGGUGUUUGCAGACUGGAGUGAUGUUAGCCAUUCAAACGAGGCUUGUACAAACAUCACGUAGGUGUUGGGAGGUGGCGGACGAAUGCCACCGCUUGUACCAACACCAGGACGACACCGUGAUGUACUUGUACAUUGCAUAGCCGGAAUAGUGAAAGUGGAGUCUUGGGGUCGGUGUGACGGGUGGGAGUCGCGAACCACUUAAAACAUUUGGUUGGCUAAGCACACAAGUAGCGAAUGGGGUUUUUCCUUUGGGGUUAGGUAUUACUACGAGACUACCUACGCCUAUACGAUGAUGAUAUAUUCCUUUGAUAUGAUUAUAUAUGAUUACGAUAUGAUUAUGCAUGAAAUACAAUUGAUGUCACACAAAUGAAUGAUAUGUGAAUGGAUGACACAAAGUUGAAUAAUUGAAUUUUAUAUGAAAGAUGAUUGAUUAUUAUUUUAUAAGGGAAUUUUGUUUA